ensembl:lncRNA
GUCUCUCCACCUCUCCGUUUGUGAUGGAUCUUUGCAUGCAGGCAACAGGUUUGGGAGCACCGUGUUCAUACACAUGUGGUUGAAAUUCACCUUGGUGACUUACAUUUCACAUCCUCUAAGACAGAAAUGCUUCACUGUGGCUCAGUGACUACCUGCUCUGCUUGGCUGCCCAAGCAGAAAGCACCUCUGGCACUGAAGAUGCUAUGUACUGCCUCCUGUCCUGUCCAUGGCUCAGCUCUGAGGGAAGGAGCUAUGUGCUGGGCUGCUCUAGCAAGGGAGCAGGAAGAACUGCAGGAGCUCACUUCAGCUGUGCAUGGGAAACCAAGCUGGUGAUGGGGGAAGUUCUCCCCUAGAAAUGAGAAAGGGCAAGCUACUUCAGCAUUUGAUGGUGAUUCAAAAACAUCUUUUAAAGGUGUGAGUUCUAGGAGGCAAAAACAAAACAGGGUACCCAUCUUGUCAGAGAUUGGCAGUCCAGAGUUUGAAGAGAAGCUUAGAGAGAAAUCCAUACCAUUCUUUGUCAUACUUCAUGAACUGAGUGAUCUCAUGAGAAAUGAGACCUUUAGCAGAGGAGGGGCCUGAGAAGAAUAUGGAUAUGAAUCUCCUACAAAAUAUUUUGGCGCACUACAAAGAACUACAUCACUUGGGUGCAUGUACAACUGCAAAAUUUACUAACGUUUCCACUCUCAAUCAGGACACAGCACAUGCUUCACUUCAUGAUUACUGUUUCACAUCUGAACAGAGCAGCAUCUGAAAAUAGGAAACAUCACUCAGAAACACCAGUCUGUUGCAGAAAAAAUGGAUGAAACAUCUUCACCCAAGGAACUUCUUUACUCAUCUACAAGUUCAUCAUUAAUCUUUGAACAGUCAUUUCUUCAAAUAAUAAAAUAUUAGGAAUGUCACUGCAAGCAG